rnacentral:lncRNA from 1 species
UUUCAAGGCAGAUUUUUAAAUUAAAAACAAAUUUAUCAAGAGAGCUUUGGAAAUUAUUGCCUCUAAAAUUUUUGAAAGGUAAGGUGACCUUUGUAAACAUAGUGUCAAAUGUAUUUCUCCACUUUUAAGUCCAACAAAAUCAAAAGCAAGAAUGUUGCUUCUUCAGCAAGCUUUGUCUCAGAGAGUAAAUAGGCACUGAUGUAAACUGGAUACUUCAUAAUUAGCUCUUCAGCAUAUUACCUAUUAGCCUGGCAUGGUUAUGACAAAUAGUUUUGAAUAAGAAAGCUCUAACUCAACAAAGAUAUGAGUAGGAAGUCUAUGCAAUGCAUCUUCUAGCAGAGUCACAUUAACAGGAAUAUAAGUCAUAAAAAGACUUAAGCUUUUUUUUUCUUUUUUUUUUUCCCCUGUCAUUAUAAAACAAUACAUAAUGAUGUAAUAAGUAUAAAAGUUACUGUUGAUUAUUCCUGUUUAAUUAUUCCCAAGGCAGAGAAUUAAAGAAAAGACUAGAGCAUGUAGGAUACUAGGGAGGCAGUAGAAGAGGACAUAGUAACUAGUAGACAAAUAAUAAAAAGGAAAACUAUUCUAGUAAUUUCUUUUUCUACCUCUUGGUUGCAAUGAACAGCACAAUUUGGUAUAUGUCUUUUGUAUAUAAGGAAUAUCUUUUGCCCUUGUGUCUCUGAUAAAUUUUCCCUAUGCAGCAAUUUAAAGGUCAUUUCACAGCACUCACAUUAACUAUGUUGUGCAAUUAGUACUUUGCUUGUGACAGUGCAGUCGUUGUCCACAUGCUCCUGUUUCCUUUUGGCCUAAAUUUAUGUUUUGAUCAUAGUUCUGUCUGAAGGACAAAAUCUGAGAUCUGCACAUCGAUGCUCAACCCUAAUAAGCAGCUCUCACUUUGAGUGGAUCACCCAGUGAGAUCAAUGGGACUUCUGCAUACAGUGUAAGAACAGUGUAUUAGAGAAUAUUGUUGAACCAUCAUGGAGGCUCAGGCAAAGGUGUGGCUCCUCUAAGGCAGAGGUAAAAGUAUUACAAACUAUUUAUUGUUCUGGGGACGAAAACUGGUUUGCUCAACGUAGUGGCAGAAAAAUACUGAAGAAAUAUAUUUUGUGUUUAUUUAGACAGUCUUUACAUAUAGUGUGUUCUAAAAUUAGGCAAAAAUAAGUUCCAAAUGAUGUGGUAUUUCUUAAUGCUGGUGAAUGACUUCCAUUUCUUGGCACCACAUAUUUAAUAGCCUCACAGUGCCUUAGUAGAAAUAUUAUACAAAUAUAAUCCAAUAAACCAAAAUUCAAAACUAAAGAGCCA